GGAGGAUGAACCUAAGGGCGAUCAGUGAGGAUCCGACCGUUGGAUCAUCAUAUAAUUUCGAUCUGACCGUUGGAUCGUCGUUUAAUUUUGUUUAUGAGUUGUUGGCUAAGUUAUGAUCAUAUUGGAUUAGGUGAUUGACGGUCUUCCUUGGUGAGCGGUUUUGGUGUGUUUUGUGAAAUUGAAGACGCAGCGGGAUUAGAGCGGGUAGUCUUGCAGGUCAGGUGAAUCGAGAAGGUGAUCAGGCUGCUUAGAGUAGUGGGAUUGGAGUUACAGCUUUAUUGUGAGGUUUUCAUUUAAAUUUGGAGAGAGUGUGUUGUAAUAUUAAAUUCUUGAGGAU